GUACUUGUCUCUGAUAUGUCCUCCAUAGGAGGUCUAUAUUGAGCAGAUUCUUUUUGGUAUUGGGUGGUGGAACCGGAGCGUGCUCCAUCCACUCCAUGCAUUGACCUGGUAUUGCAGUGCUUCCAGGACCGGUGC
ensembl:snRNA U2 U2 spliceosomal RNA